UACGUAGGUGGCAAGCGUUGUCCGGAUUUACUGGGCGUAAAGGGCGUGCAGGCGGUCUGUUAAGUUCAGGGUGAAAGCUCCCGGCUCAACUGGGAGAGGUCCUUGGAUACUGGCAGACUUGAGGGGAGGUAGAGGAGAGUGGAAUUCCCGGUGUAGUGGUGAUAUGCGUAGAUAUCGGGAGGAACACCAGUGGCGAAGGCGGCUCUCUGGGCCUUUCCUGACGCUGAGACGCGAAAGCGUGGGGAGCGAACCGG
rnacentral:rRNA from 1 species